UAUAUAAAGCCUGUUGCCAAAUUCAGUGUAAAAUUACUGGAAUGUCCUCACUCUAACAACCGUAUCCACAAUAAUGCCACUGCUUUCUUAAAAAAAAUACGGUCCAAACUGAAGCGUGGGUUGAAAAUUAGAAGUACAGCUGGCAUAUAUACACACAUGUACACACAGGGUUUUUGAAUGUGUGGGAAGUACAACACGUGUCGGAAAUCAAGGUCUCUUUUCGUACGGCGUCGGCUUUAUCUGCCGGUUCAUUUCAUUGCUCCCCCGGUUAUUUGCUUUUCAUUAUUUGGUUUAAACACUUCAUUUGAAUAUAAACCUCUGCUCAAAUCAUCCUCUAUUCAAAUUUGAAAUUGAAAGAAGACGAUAUUUUAAAGCGCAGACAUCUUCAAAGCAGUGCGUGCUCCUCUUGGUUCAAUCGGAAAGGAGAACCAACCUAGGCAGCUCAAUCAUCACCUCUCUAAACUUUUGGUCAUUAAUGCGGCGGUCCAACAUCACCACUGACUGGCGCCAUGGACGCUAUCCCAUGGAAGAGACAGUUUAUCCUCUCCUUGAAGGCCGCAUCUCGAACAGGAAUAAAUGAUAAGUUGAAGUAAACCUGAGUCUGAACAUCUAUUCUGCCAAGAAACCUAUUCAUGUUAUGUGCAAAAGGGAUAACAUCAGAUCAAGUGAUCCUUAGUUUUGCAGCGUCAGUCGAUAUCUCUUUCGCUAGCUAGAGAGGCCAUGAUUUUAGCAGCGGUGGAUUUGGUGAGGGAAUAGUGAUCAUUUGUGAUCAGAAGCCAGGAAGAUUAAUAAAGUUUAUGAUGGUGAUGAUGAUAUCUUUCUUCCAACUGAAGUUUCACAUUCUUCUGCUUCUCAGUUUCUUGAUUCCUUUUGGAGUUCCAAGUCUUUGCCUUCUUUUCAAGGGGACUCUGUUUCUGACUCUACGAAUAUGGUUAAUUUACAGAAUUCCUCACCUAAAGAUGCUGGACUUGAGGGAUUAAUACCUCUCAUGAAAAAGCAUAGAGUGGAAAUGAGGACUAUGAUCCUGGCUUUCAAAAGCCCAAAAAGAAAAGGCGACUACAGUUGAUCAGCCUGAAUCAAAAAAGUAUCUAAGAAGAGGCUUGAGUAUCCGAAACCAGCAAAAAUAUCAUCAUCAACUCCAUUUUCUCAGAAUGUGACCAGUGCAAAUGUGAUAACAAUAAAGCAAGAGUCUGCAAAUUCAGCCACAAGAGUGAUGUUUUCGAGAUAGAGAGUCCACAUUGCGCUGAUGUGAACCAUAUAUCUAUAUUUCGGCCUGUUGACUCUUCUCAAGUCCUAGAACAAGAUUUAUCUGCGUGCAGGUUUUUGCCAGCCUCAUGUCUCCGGAAGCUGAAAAUUUGAGUCUUAUGAUAAAUAACUGCAUGAUUAUGUGAGCUUGCAGUAGAUGAUCCCUUUUAUUAUGAACUUAUAUGUACAGUAUUUGGUUGCAUAUUGUUGACAGAUUUAUAUUAUUUGCAGUUUGGCAAAAAUGAUGCCAGUAUGAGAGUAAGUGAGUAAGUCUUGCAGUAGAUGAUUUCAAUGUGCUAAGUUUUUGUGCUGAUAAUUUUUACCAGAAUGGAUGGUUUUUCAAUUUGAAUUCUGCUUUUGUAUAUGAUAUGUGAGGUCAAUUUAAAAAACGGCUGGAUACUUUUCAAGUUAA